GAGAGCUAUGGUCGCCGUCGCCAUCUUGCGUCCGUCGCGGCCUCCGCGCGCGCCUCCCACUCUUGCUCCUUCCGCUGUCUCGCGCGAUCUGGGUGCCGGUGCACGGAACUCUCGCGAGGAAGGAGGGAACCGAUGACCCUAGGUUGGCUGACAUCAGUCGCUAGACCCGCAGCCCGCAGGCCCCGUUAGUCCCUGAACUGGCUUUCAUGGCCCAAGGUGUCUGUCAGUACUGCUGGGAAAGCUGCCUGUCCUGGACAUUUGCCAUCUGCUGCACCCAGUCCCGAGACCCCAACUCGGUCAUCCGAAGAAGCCACAUCUCUGGACAGCCCAGGAUCACCAGACACCUGAGAAAGAAGAAAAGGGACUCAGAAGAAACAGAGACGAUAAAGGAAGCCGAAGAAAAAUGAAAACUAAAAUGCCAUUCUCAGUCAAUAAAAAGGAACUGGGGGCUAUAGAGAAAGAAACCUCGGGAUGAGAAAGAGCUCUUAGAAAUAAAACAUGAGGGGAAAGUGAGCAAUUCAAUAGGCUUUUAAGAUGAAGUCUUCCAGAAUGUAUAAUGACAGAACCAGAUAGCUGGAAAACAGAAUAGCAGUAACACAGGUGGGUGCUCUUAGGGCUAGCCUGGCACACAAGGCCUCCACAAUGGAGGGGGUGGAUGGGAGGUGGGGGGCUGGUCUGCCACCACCACCAGGGGAAGCCACAGGCACCACCCUCUGGGGACAGCUUCCCUUGGCAAUAAUGUGCACGCAGGAUGCAUGGUGCCCAGGACUGUUCUUACACACAUUCAUUCAUGGGAUCCUCACAACCCAGUGCUAUGCAAUGGAUACAGCUGUUACCCCAUUUUUACUGAUGGGCAACAUCACAAGGCAGGGAGCAGCAGUAGAAUGGCUCCAGAGCCUGUGUUCUUGCCACCACCAUGACUGCAUCUCAAAAGAGAAGUCCAGGUCAGGCACAGUGGCUCAUGCCUGCCUUCCCAGCACUUCAGGAGGCUGAGGCAGGAGUAUCACUUGGGCCCAGGGGUUCAAGACCAGCUUGGGCAAUAUAGUGAGGCCACGUCUCUACAAAAAGUAAUUUUAAAAAACCAGCUGGGCAUGGUGGCACACGCCUGUAGUCCUAGCUACUAGAGAGGCUAAGGUGGGAGGAUUGCUGGAGCCCAGAAGGUGGAGGUUGCAGUGCCCUGUGAUCACACCACUGCACUCCAGCCUGGGUGACAGAGCCAGACCCUGUCUCAAAAAAACAACAAAAACUCAACAGAAGUCCAACAUCUAAAUAAAUUGUCCA
rnacentral:lncRNA from 1 species